GGAAUAUUGCGCAAUGGGGGAAACCCUGACGCAGCGACGCCGCGUGGGUGAGGAAGGCUUUCGGGUCGUAAAACCCUGUCAGAUGGGAAGAAAUGCAUGAGAGUUAAUACCUCUUAUGUUUGACGGUACCAUCAAAGGAAGCACCGGCUAACUCCGUGCCAGCAGCCGCGGUAAUACGGAGGGUGCAAGCGUUGUUCGGAAUCACUGGGCGUAAAGGGCGCGCAGGCGGCCUGGUAAGUCAGAUGUGAAAGCCCACGGCUCAACCGUGGAAGUGCAUUUGAAACUGCUAGGCUUGAGUAUCAGAGGGGAAGGUGGAAUUCCCGGUGUAGAGGUGAAAUUCGUAGAUAUCGGGAGGAAUACCGGUGGCGAAGGCGACUUUCUGGCUGAAUACUGACGCUGAGGCGCGAAAGCGUGGGGAGCAAACAGGAUUA
rnacentral:rRNA from 1 species